rnacentral:rRNA from 1 species
AUUUACAGUCAUGCUACCCUGAACAAGCCCGAUCCCAUCUGAUCUCGAAAGCUAAGCACGGUCGGGCCUGGUUAGUUCUUGGAUAGGAGACCACCUAGGAAGACCAGGCGCUGUAGGCA